UGGGGGGAUAUUGCACAAUGGGGGGAAACCCUGAUGCAGCAACGCCGCGUGAAGGAAGAAGGUCUUCGGAUUGUAAACUUUUGUCCUUGGUGAAGAUAGUGACGGUAGCAUAGGAGGAAGCCCCGGCUAACUACGUGCCAGCAGCCGCGGUAAUACGUAGGGGGCGAGCGUUGUCCGGAAUUACUGGGCGUAAAGGGUGCGUAGGCGGUUUGGUAAGUUGGAUGUGAAAUACCCGGGCUUAACUUGGGGGCUGCAUCCAAUACUGUCGGACUUGAGUGCAGGAGAGGAAAGCGGAAUUCCUAGUGUAGCGGUGAAAUGCGUAGAUAUUAGGAGGAACACCGGUGGCGAAGGCGGCUUUCUGGACUGUAACUGACGCUGAGGCACGAAAGCGUGGGGAGCAAACAGGAUUAGAUACCCUGGUAGU
rnacentral:rRNA from 1 species